CACGUAGGGCGCAAGCGUUGUCCGGAAUUAUUGGGCGUAAAGAGCUCGUAGGCGGUCUGUUGCGUCCGCUGUGAAAACUCGGGGCUUAACCCCGAGCCUGCAGUGGAUACGGGCAGACUAGAGGUAGGUAGGGGAGAAUGGAAUUCCCGGUGUAGCGGUGAAAUGCGCAGAUAUCGGGAGGAACACCGGUGGCGAAGGCGGUUCUCUGGGCCGUUACCUGACGCUGAGGAGCGAAAGCGUGGGAGCGAACAGG
rnacentral:rRNA from 1 species